rnacentral:rRNA from 1 species
AUUGAACGCUGGCGGCAGUCCUAACACAUGCAAGUCGAACGAGUGGCGGACGGGUGAGUAAUGUCUGGGAAACUGCCCGAUGGAGGGGGAUAACUACUGGAAACGGUAGCUAAUACCGCAUACCAUCGGAUGUGCCCAGAUGGGAUUAGCUAGUAGGUGGGGUAACGGCUCACCUAGGCGACGAUCCCUGGCUGGUCUGAGAGGAUGACCAGCCACAAUGGAACUGGGACACGAUCCAGACUACAACGGGAGGCAGCAGUGGGGAAAAUUGCACAAUGGGCGCAAGCCUGAUGCAGACAUGCGGUGUGUAUGAAGAAGGCCUUAAGGUUGUAAAGAACUUUCAGCGAGGAGGCGUUACUCGCAGAAGAAGCACCGGAUAACUCCGUGCGAGCAGCCGCGGGAAUAC